rnacentral:tRNA from 1 species
CAGGGAGACAACAAAAUGUUAAAUAUUAAUUUUGUCACCUUAGGUCGAUCGGUAUCUCAGGUUCUUAAUUACUUUAAGAAUUUCAUUUCCUAAGUUUUUUCUAGGUCACACCCAUUACUUUCCCUGGGCCAUUAGCUCAGGUGGUUAGAGCGCACCCCUGAUAAGGGUGAGGUUUUUGGUUCAAGUCCAGGAUGGCCCAUAUCUCUAUGUUGGGGGUAUAGCUCAGUUGGUAGAGCGCCUGCUUUGCAAGCAGGAUGUCAGCGGUUCGAGUCCGCUUACCUCCACUGAUUACCACCUCUUCCAUAAAUUUAAAGAAGGGAAUUGUUAUUAGAUGUGAUUUAGUUCUGAACGAAUCUAGCUUCCUAAUCAAUAGAUUAAGAUGCUGGACUCAUUGAAUGUUAUUCAUUGUUUCCAGAGAACCUUGACAACUGCAUAGAUUAUUUUUAAAGACAAUAAGCAUCUUUAAUGAUGCAGAUUUAUUAUUUUUGCUAAUGCAUUAAUAACAAUUCUAUUGAGCUGAUGCUUCAAUUUUUUGAAGUUAUU